rnacentral:lncRNA from 1 species
AAUUAGAUGACUAACCAGCGAGGCCGUCAGGACUGCUGAGCAACCAGAUUGUGAGAGCCUUCUCCAGCAAGGCUGGCCAUGCAACCUGAGGAGAGUCAGGGCGUGCGCACUGCAGGAAACUUAUGUGGUGAAGAUCACAGCCAAUCUUCUGUUAACCAGCGCUCUACUUACAUGCAGUACCUGAAGCAACCAGAAGAGGGCAUCGGAUCACCAGAGAACUGAAAUCAGUCGUUGAAACGGAGCAGGGUUGAAGGUCCCUCCCUCAUAGCCUCAGACUCCAACUGUUUCGUCUGCUGCCACUCAUCUUAAGGGGAAAUGUUGUAAUUGCUUCUCCUUAGAUGGCCUUGCCAUGUCAAGGGAGGACACAUCACUGUUGCCCUCUGCCGAGACACAGCAGGGUCCUGUUCUAAGUUCCUCCAUGUGGGGUGAAACAGCAGCUAUUGGGGGAGUAUUUUGCCCUGGGUGACUCCAUUUACACAACAAGCAUCAUUUAGUUCCAUUUUGAUCAAGAAUACAGAGACAGGAGACCGUAUCAAUGUGCAUGCAGACACCACCCUGUCCAGCACCAGCCAGGAGACACAGACAGAUAAUAACUUGUUCCCAAAAAUUAAAAACAUACUUACAGGUCAAUGUGUGAAUGUUUAAACCCAAAUGAGAAACUGACCAAACACACCAAAAUAACAGAGGCCAUGGCAUUUUCUUCUGGGCUCCAUAAGAAGAAUACCUAAUACUGAAAUAUCAGUGGUCCCGCAAACCUGUUCUCCAGCUACCUAGCGUGUGCGUGUCAAAGGACCAAUAGACAGGGAGUGCCCAACCAUCUCAGGGGCUUUGGCUCAGCACGAGGAGUGGCUCCCCGAUGUCUGAUAAGGCCCAAUCCGACAACCAUCUGUACACCCAUCCAUCUAUCCCUUUAUCCACCAGCCUGAACCUCACUUGCAUGCCUCUGCAGUUAGGAUGAACACCACCCUGUGGUUGUGUCAGACCCAGCAACUUGGGACUGCCAGGUCAUCUCUGCCUCUCUCCCAACAGUUCUUUGGGAACUGUUGCAUGCCUGUUAUCCUCCUGCAGCGACGUGGCACCUCUGUCAGCUGUCCUCCUCUGCCUCCAGUAAGGCCUCUUUACACUCUGACUGCUGGUGCCUCUUUAGCCCUGUUCAUAGCCAUUCUGUAACAUAUAUGUACAUGUAGCAUGUAUUGUGUAUAGAGAGCACACAUGCAAUGUAUCUAUUAAUGCAUACAUGCACAUAAUACACAUAUUCACCUGUGUAGCAUGUACUGUGAGUUCUGAGUUAGGACUAACAACUAGGAUGGUAAUGAAAGAAGCUGUGGUUACCAACAGCCGUGCUUUCUAGGGAAAUUGGAACUACUCGGUCAACUGCAGUCAGUGAAACAGACAGGACCUGUGGAUCUGUAGCCAUUCAAUAAACUCAGGCAUUAUGGAAGACACAGGUCUGUCCGUCUACGUUUCUGGUAGACCACGCUCAUGACAGCGACUCUGAAAUUUAAAUUAAAAAUUCUAUGUGAAAGGGCAGCUCCCGAUUACAGACUGGACACG